CCGGUUAGCUCAGUCGGCUAGAGCGUGGUGCUAAUAACGCCAAGGUCGCGGGUUCGAUCCCCGUACGGGCCACUGGAUGCCAUAGUGGGGCCCUUCACUUACCUGAAGGGAGGCCUUUUAAUUUAAGCCUGUCGAAUCACAGGUGCUCCGAAUCGAAUCCCAGGUGCUCUGAAUCCGAAAUUAAGACGCCCUCUUAUUCGUCAAGCGAGAAGGCUAUUUACGUUCGUUUCCCUUUAUUGUGAAAAAUGAAAAGAACAGGCCGGGCACGGUGGCUCGAAUCUGUAAUCCCAGCACUUUGGGG
rnacentral:lncRNA from 1 species